CGUCCCGUCCUCCUGGCCCUUACGUGUUGGGCUACACACGUGCUACAAUGGUAUCUACAACAGGAAGCAAGACUGCGAAGUUAAGCAAAUCCCUAAAAGAUACCUCAGUUCGGAUUGCACUCUGCAACUCGAGUGCAUGAAGCUGGAAUUACUAGUAAUCGUGGAUCAGCGUGCCACGGUGAAUGCGUUCCCGGGUCUU
rnacentral:rRNA from 1 species